rnacentral:rRNA from 1 species
UGAGGGAAUAUUGGGUCAAUGGGCGGGAGCCUGAACCAGCCAAGUCGCGUGAGGGACGAAGGCCCUACGGGUUGUAAACCUCUUUUAUAAGGGAAUAAAGGGCGCCACGUGUGACGCAUUGCAUGUACCUUAUGAAUAAGCAUCGGCUAACUCCGUGCCAGCAGCCGCGGUAAUACGGAGGAUGCGAGCGUUAUCCGGAUUCAUUGGGUUUAAAGGGUGCGUAGGCGGCUUUGCAAGUCAGCGGUGAAAGGCCCGGGCUCAACCCGGAAAGUGCCGUUGAUACUGUGAGGCUGGAAUGCGGAUGCUGUGGGAGGAAUGAGUGGUGUAGCGGUGAAAUGCAUAGAUAUCACUCAGAACACCGAUUGCGAAGGCAUCUCACAAAUCCGCAAUUGACGCUGAGGCACGAAAGCGUGGGGAUCGAACAGGAUUAGAUACCCUGGUAGU